AAUUUAAGUAUUUUCUCUAGAAUAUUGUGUACUUGAUUUUUGUGAUAAUAGAUUUGACUCGUAAUUUAGUUCAUGAUUUUUUUCUCUACAUUGGAGGGUUUUUUACGUAAAUCUUAUAUUUUUUUUUCAUUUUUGAGGUUGCUUCUUUGUUUGCAUUAUAAUUAAUUUAUUGAUUGGCUUGAAAGUAUUAAUUGAGAUUUGUUGAUUAAUUUUGUGAUUUCCUUAAUUUGCACAAGUAAGAUUACAAUGUUUUGGAAGACCCAACAUAAUUUGCUUUCUCA
rnacentral:lncRNA from 1 species